AGAUUGGGAUCGUGACAUGGAUUCCAUGCUUGUCUUUCUGGAUGAGAGUUUGAAGACCUCGGCAGAUAGUAGAGCUAACACGGUUGGUGAAACUGAUCUGGCUUCCCAACCCACGUUCAGGAUUGAGCCUCUGGGAGGUGCUGAGGGUGUGUCUGCAGGGAGGACUUUCCCAGGUCCAUUGGUGGAUGUUGCACGCAGGCCCAGCUCCCAUGGCAGGGGU